rnacentral:rRNA from 1 species
AGCUGGCGGCGUGCCUAAUACAUGCAAGUCGAGCGGACAGAUGGGAGCUUGCUCCCUGAUGUUAGCGGCGGACGGGUGAGUAACACGUGGGUAACCUGCCUGUAAGACUGGGAUAACUCCGGGAAACCGGGGCUAAUACCGGAUGGUUGUUUGAACCGCAUGGUUCAAACAUAAAAGGUGGCUUCGGCUACCACUUACAGAUGGACCCGCGGCGCAUUAGCUAGUUGGUGAGGUAACGGCUCACCAAGGCAACGAUGCGUAGCCGACCUGAGAGGGUGAUCGGCCACACUGGGACUGAGACACGGCCCAGACUCCUACGGGAGGCAGCAGUAGGGAAUCUUCCGCAAUGGACGAAAGUCUGACGGAGCAACGCCGCGUGAGUGAUGAAGGUUUUCGGAUCGUAAAGCUCUGUUGUUAGGGAAGAACAAGUACCGUUCGAAUAGGGCGGUACCUUGACGGUACCUAACCAGAAAGCCACGGCUAACUACGUGCCAGCAGCCGCGGUAAUACGUAGGUGGCAAGCGUUGUCCGGAAUUAUUGGGCGUAAAGGGCUCGCAGGCGGUUUCUUAAGUCUGAUGUGAAAGCCCCCGGCUCAACCGGGGAGGGUCAUUGGAAACUGGGGGAACUUGAGUGCAGAAGAGGAGAGUGGAAUUCCACGUGUAGCGGUGAAAUGCGUAGAGAUGUGGAGGAACACCAGUGGCGAAGGCGACUCUCUGGUCUGUAACUGAC